rnacentral:tRNA from 1 species
GUUAUAAUAAUUUAUAAAAAUAUUGAUUUUGUAAAUCAAAAAUGAUUAACUAUCUUAUAAUU